AACCAAGCAAGAGACGUUAGGCAGCGGAAAGCAUGUAAUGAAUGCUCAGUGAGAACCCCAUAAUGAAUUAGAACUGAAAGCAUAAUACGACUACAAACGCAUGAUAAGAUUUAGAACGACAAUGAACUAAAAUCUACAGCCGAUAGACAACAAUAAUGAAUUUACAAGCAUGCUUUGUGAACUGAGAGUAUAAAAUACAAGUCAAAAGGAUAAACAGAUUACCUACUAGUGUUAUGCAAUGUACACAGACUUCUCAUGAAGAAUGAGAGGAGGUGAAGAUAGAAAUGAGCUCUUCUAACCUUCAAGUCUGAUGACCUUCCCUUUAGGCAUCUGGUUGACAUGGAAUGCGGGAUUUGAUCUAAUCCUUUUCCUUGCAUCCAGAAU
rnacentral:lncRNA from 1 species